AGGGUGUAAACGCUGCAGACUUGGUGUUGGGAACCCUUCGGGGGUGCUCAGUGCCGGAGAGAAGUUGUUAAGUCUGCUACUUGGGGAGUACGUCCGCAAGGAUGAAACUUAAAGGAAUUGGCGGGGGAGCACCGCAACGGGAGGAGCGUGCGGUUUAAUUGGAUUCAACGCCGAAAAACUCACCGGCAGCGACUGUUACAUGAAAGUCAGGUUGAUGACCUUACUAGAUUUUCAGAGAGGUGGUGCAUGGCGUCAGUGACU
rnacentral:rRNA from 1 species